rnacentral:rRNA from 1 species
CGGCAAAAGCUCAAAUUUGAAAUCUGGCCCUUUCAGGGUCCGAGUUGUAAUUUGUAGAAGAUGCUUCGGGUGUGGCUCCAGUUUAAGUUCUUUGGAAUAUUACAUCAUAGAGGGUGAGAAUCCCGU